rnacentral:tRNA from 1 species
GAGGGUAUAUCUCAGUGGUAGAGUGCGUGCUUAGCAUGCACGAGGUCCUGGGUUCAAUCCCUAAUCCCUCCU